rnacentral:ribozyme from 15 species
AAGAAUGAGUUGCUAAUGCGAAUAAAGCGAUUGGAAGGAAUUUCAUUUUAUGAGUUUGUUGUUAUGGUUUUGUUGUUUUUGUGUUUUGUUAUUUUUGUGUUUUAUAUUUUUGUGAGAUUUGAAAAGGAGUGUAA